GAUGAACGCUGGCGGCGCGCCUAACACAUGCAAGUCGAACGAUUAAAGCACCUUCGGGUGUGUAUAAAGUGGCGAACGGCUGAGUAACACGUGGGCAACCUGCCCCUUUCAUUGGGAUAGCCACGGGAAACCGUGGAUAAUACCGAAUACUUCGAGACUUCCGCAUGGAAGACUCGAGAAAGCUCCGGCGGUGAGGGAUGGGCCCGCGGCCUGUUAGCUUGUUGGUGGGGUAACGGCCUACCAAGGCAAUGAGGGGUAGCUGGGUUGAGAGACCGACCAGCCAGAUUGGGACUGAGACACGGCCCAGACUCCUACGGGAGGCAGCAGUGGGGAAUCUUGCACAAUGGGCGAAAGCCUGAUGCAGCGACGCCGCGUGCGGGAUGAAGGCCUUCGGGUUGUAAACCGCUUUCAGCAGGGACGAGGCGAAAGUGACGGUACCUGCAGAAGAAGCCCCGGCUAACUACGUG
rnacentral:rRNA from 1 species